UACGUAGGGGGCAAGCGUUGUCCGGAAUUAUUGGGCGUAAAGAGCGCGUAGGCGGUCCGAUAAGUCGGCUGUGAAAGUCCAGGGCUCAACCCUGGAAAGCCGGCCGAUACUGUCGGACUAGAGUCCGGAAGAGGCAAGUGGAAUUCCCGGUGUAGCGGUGAAAUGCGCAGAUAUCGGGAGGAACACCAAUUGCGAAGGCAGCUUGCUGGGACGGUACUGACGCUGAGACGCGAAAGCGUGGGGAGCAAACAGG
rnacentral:rRNA from 1 species